rnacentral:rRNA from 1 species
GACGAACGCUGGCGGCGUGCUUAACACAUGCAAGUCGAACGGAAAGGCCUGCUUUCCCUUGUGGAUUGCGGGUACUCGAGUGGCGAACGGGUGAGUAACACGUGAGUGAUCUGCCCCCAACUUGGGUAUAAGCCUGGGAAACUGGGUCUAAUUCCCGAUAGGACUGCAGGGUGGUGCCUGUGGUGGAAAACGAUUUUCUAGUGGUUGGGGAUGAGCUCGCGGCCUAUCAGCUUGUUGGUGGGGUAAUGGCCUACCAAGGCGGCGACGGGUAGCCGGCCUGAGAGGGUGGACGGCCACAUUGGGACUGAGAUACGGCCCAGACUCCUACGGGAGGCAGCAGUGGGGAAUAUUGCACAAUGGGCGGAAGCCUGAUACAGCGACGCCGCGUGGGGGAUGACGGCCUUCGGGUUGUAAACUCCUUUCGACCGCGAGGAAGCCACCUGGUUGGAAGGGUGGUGACGGUAGUGGUAGAAGAAGCACCGGCUAACUACGUG